rnacentral:rRNA from 1 species
GGACUACCGGGGUUUCUAAUCCCGUUCGCUCCCCUAGCUUUCGCCCCCGAGCGUCAGGGACCAGCCAGGACACUGCCUUCGCCUUUGGUGUUCUUCCAGAUAUCUACGCAUUUCACCACUACACCUGGAGUUCCAUGUCCCUCUCUGGUCCUCAAAGUGCGGCCGUUUUUGCACGCCUGCCCCAGUUAAGCUGGGACCUGUCAGUGCAAACGCGCCACACCGCCUGCGGGCGCUUUACGCCCAGUAACUCCGGACAACGCUUGUCCCCUACGUAUUACCGCGGCGGCUGGCAC